UAGAAGAGAAAAGAAAUUUUUUAGAUUCUGAAAAUACACGAAAAUACCAUUGGUAUAAUUUGAAAGUUAUUAAGGAUUAUAAAUCUAGUAUGGAUACAUUGAAUAUUCAAACUUGGUGUAAUAAAAAUAUCCCCACAUUAAUGAAAAACUUAAUUAAUAUUAGAAAGAGCAUGCGUAGCAGGUUUAUUGAUAACAAUAAUAAAUCCAUUGAAAAUUAACCUCAUAAUAAUAAAAAAAUAUGUUAAAUUUAUUUAAUGAA